AUUGAACGCUGGCGGCAGGCCUAACACAUGCAAGUCGAACGGUAACAGGAAGACGCUUGCUUCUUUGCUGACGAGUGGCGGACGGGUGAGUAAUGUCUGGGAAACUGCCUGAUGGAGGGGGAUAACUACUGGAAACGGUAGCUAAUACCGCAUAACGUCGCAAGACCAAAGAGGGGGACCUUCGGGCCUCUUGCCAUAGGAUGUGCCCAGAUGGGAUUAGCUAGUAGGUGGGGUAACGGCUCACCUAGGCGACGAUCCCUAGCUGGUCUGAGAGGAUGACCAGCCACACUGGAACUGAGACACGGUCCAGACUCCUACGGGAGGCAGCAGUGGGGAAUAUUGCACAAUGGGCGCAAGCCUGAUGCAGCCAUGCCGCGUGUAUGAAGAAGGCCUUCGGGUUGUAAAGUACUUUCAGCGGGGAGGAAGGGAGGAAAGUUAAUACCUUUGCUCAUUGACGUUACCCGCAGAAGAAGCACCGGCUAACUCCGUG
rnacentral:rRNA from 1 species